CUGGCACAUGGUGCACACAGUCUAAUUUAGGGAACUAAUCGUAUAACAUACAUCAUACACAACCUAUAUCACGUAUGAAACGUUAAAAACUGUACGAAUUAUUAUGAUUACACUUCCCUUCAUAUUUAGUGAUAUUAACCUUCAUACAAACAACCUCUUCAAGGAAAAACAAAAUUCUUUUUCGAAAAUGGCACUUCCAAUUCUUCUUAUUCUCACUAUUUAAUUGCUAGCCGUAUCAAGUAACAACGAAAAAAAUAAUAAUAUCUAAUCGUUAAGCAGGGCCAUAUUUUGGGGGAUACAAUUAAAAAAGUAAAUCGUCGGUGGAAUAUUGUUUCACCUAUCAAGAAUUUUGGAAGAUAUAAUUAGAAAGGUACAACCUGGGUAGAAAAUUGUACUCCUUAUCGAGCAUUUUUGAAAAUAUAAUUGAGAAAGUGGAAUCUGGAUAGAAAAUUGUUUUACCUACGAAGCAUUAUAAAAAUUGACAGAGCAAGGAAAAUGAGCGACGAACAUACCUACAAACUAAUCUACUUCAAUGCCCGUGGUCGUGCCGAACAUAUACGGUACAUAUUUGCAUAUACUGGCAUCGAGUAUACCGACGAGAGGAUCCCCGAAGAACUCUGGCCUGAAUACAAGGAUUGUAAGCGUGAAGAAUCGAUUUUUACUUUCAUCGUUCAACUCUCAGAUAUCUGCCAUUUACUCAAACUUUUCUGUAUAUAAAACUUUCGUUUCACGUGCAGGCUAAACUUACUUAAAGUAAAAUUUCAUACGGAAUAAAGUCGAACUUUUCAUUAAGUUUUGCUUCCGUAAUAUCGUGUUCAUCGAAUACCAACUUAAUUCACUUACGAUUCUCGAAUUUUUGUGUUGCAAUCUUUAUUGUUUUCAAUGAAUCGAAGCAUUUCGAAUAUUUUGAGAAAACCGUAAAUAGGUGACUUAAAAUAGGAAUACAAAAAUACUUCUACGUUUCUCGUUAAUUUAAAAACUUUUUAGGACUUGUCGGAAAAAAAGGAUAAAAAAUUGAAAUCAGUUCGAAAAUGAACAAGAACAUAGCUAAAAAGUAGAAAGAACAAAGCAGACAUAAAAUUCGAUCUUCCGUUGCGACAUUUCUAUCGUAAAUAGUCUUCGAUAUAAUCUUAUAUGUCGCUUGCAGAUAGAGAAACAAAAAAUCAACGUAAG